rnacentral:rRNA from 1 species
AUUAUGUCCUGCCUGCCCAGUGAACUUCUUUAACGGCCGCGGUAUCAUAACCGUGCAAAGGUAGCGUAAUCACUUGUCUCCUAAAUAGAGACCCGUAUGAAAGGCUAAAUGAGGACGCACCUGUCUCCUUGGACCAGUCAAUGAAACUGAUCUGCCAGUACAAAAGCUGACAUACACACAUAAGACGAGAAGACCCUGUGGAGCUUUUAAACCCAAACACUACCCAACCACACCCAAUCAUCUAAGGACACCACAUGGCCCCACUCACGAUAGUGCCAAUUUUAAGUUGGGGCGACUACGGAAUAUAACAAAACUUCCACGACACAGGCUAAAACCCACCCACGACAGACAAGUCAACGGAAAAUACAAUUGACCCAGUAUACUGACUAACGAACCAAGUUACCCCAGGGAUAACAGCGCUAUCCCCUUCAAGAGUCCAUAUCGCCAAGGGGGCUUACGACCUCGAUGUUGGAUCAGGACACCCAGGCGGUGCAGCCGCUGCCAAAGGUUCGUUUGUUCAACGAUUAAAGUCCUACGUGAUC